UACGGGGGGAGCAAGCGUUGUUCGGAUUUACUGGGCGUAAAGGGCGCGUAGGCGGCGUGACAAGUCACUUGUGAAAUCUCCGGGCUUAACUCGGAACGGUCAAGUGAUACUGUCGUGCUAGAGUACAGAAGGGGCAACUGGAAUUCUCGGUGUAGCGGUGAAAUGCGUAGAUAUCGAGAGGAACACCUGCGGCGAAGGCGGGAUGCUGGGCUGAUACUGACGCUGAGGCGCGAAAGCCAGGGGAGCGAACGGG
rnacentral:rRNA from 1 species